rnacentral:rRNA from 1 species
UACGUAGGGGGCAAGCGUUAUCCGGAUUUACUGGGUGUAAAGGGAGCGUAGACGGCAGCGCAAGUCUGAAGUGAAAUGCCGGGGCUUAACCCCGGAACUGCUUUGGAAACUGAGCAGCUAGAGUGCAGGAGAGGUAAGUGGAAUUCCUAGUGUAGCGGUGAAAUGCGUAGAUAUUAGGAGGAACACCAGUGGCGAAGGCGGCUUACUGGACUGUAACUGACGUUGAGGCUCGAAAGCGUGGGGAGCAAACAGG